AUUCGGACGUCGGGUACCAUUACUAGAUGGUCACUUCGAUUAGUACAAGAAUUGAUUCCUGUGCUACCGGCUUAGGUUCGAACCUGUGGGGUCACAUACAUUAGAGGUUCCUAUCUGAUCUGAUGGCUGGUGUAGAAUCCUACAUGUUUGGGACUCAGUGAUCGAGAAUCAAGAUUCUCUGAUCACGAGUUUCACACAUUAUGGGUACCAGGGUCAAGAGUCCCAUUGGUUGGGACUUUUUGAUCAAGGUUACAUAUCGAUGAAUUCUGAUGCCCGAUUGCCCAUCAGAUUUGGACUCAGUAUUUAUGAGAGGUUUAAUUAGUAAUUUAAUCACUAAUUAACUCAAUUUGAUUGAGUAAUUAUUUUUGGAUCAAGUCCAAUUGAAUUGGAUUCAGUUGGGUUUGACCUGAUUAGGUUAAGAGUUGACCUAAUCGUCGAGAUGGUUUGGUCCCUGAU
rnacentral:lncRNA from 1 species